rnacentral:lncRNA from 1 species
GAAUGUCAGGCAAGGGAAGCGGUGUGUUCAGUGAAGAAAAACGUGCAAGCUCCAAAUCCAUUGACAUGAUGAUGGACACAUUGAACAUUAUCAAGUGGUGCAGACAGAUGAAGCUGCAGAGUGUCAUCUGCAAAUAAACAAACAGCGAUUUUGGACAAGCUUACCAACAGUGUUUUAUUUUUACACUAUGGAUCUGGAUGUUGACGUGGACUGCACUAACCUGAUGAACACCUAGGAGUUAUUUAUAGGCGAUAUGGGUUCUAGAGGGCGCAAUUUAAGGUCUAUGCUACAAUCUCCGAUAAAAGUACGAGAGAAUGUCUGUUUCUCUCGAACGCAUAUCAAACAGGAAAUAAAUCGUCAGAAAGACAAACUUUUGUUUCAAGAUGAUCAUGUUGACUUACAAAGGCGUGAUGGAAUAUUCUUAAUGUCAGUGAAGCCAUAUUUAAUGUCAUUUUAAAUAUUAAACCUCUCUUGUUGAGUAAGCUAUAUUCAUCUGCGCAUUUUAUCUGGGAUUGUAGCAAUGAUUAUUGAGAAAAAUAGGUAUUAAUUUAUUAUUUGUUUUCUCUUGUCCCUAUCAUACAUGUACCUAAGCGAAAGUGGAAUAUGUGGCACAUUGUUGAAACUCGUGAACGAUAAGUCCAUCUGUGAUACGUAAUGCAGGAUCGUUGUGCGCAUAACGUAAAAGUAAAUUUGGUUUUGCCAUUGGAAUUAUUAUUCGCACAAGGAAUGUAAUAAACCCUUUGACGGACAAAAACAAAGGCGUGGAGAAAUCCUGGAGCCACAGCAUUCCAUUUUUUUUUUUUUUUUUUUUUUUUUUCAAAGUCCCGAAUUUGUCUCGUAAUUAUAUCUGUGGAGGAUGGAUUUUACAACAAGAUGUUUAUCUCGUAGAAUAUGUUACACUCUGGAUAUAGUUGGCAGAUAACUUUAUAUUAUGACGGUUGCAAAGGCGACAAACAAAGAUUCCGAAAAUUCCAGUUCCCACAAAUGUGUAACUACUCUUUGAAAGUAAGAAAUUUUGAGCAAGAACAUUCAGUAAUGAUAUCAUGGCGAUAUUCCAGAAAAAAUGUGAUCGACAUCCUUUAUGCAUUUUAUCAAACGCUUACCUCAAUAGACUCGGCUCGAGUGCACGUACCCAACUUAUUAUACAGCAAAUAGUGCACCAGUUAUCACUAAAACGUACGGCAUAUAGUAUGUAUUACAUCCGCGUUCCCGAACCAAAAUAAUCUAAAGUGAGACUUAGGAAAACUUGUAAAUAUUGACGAAUAUGAUUAUAUUUUAUUUGUGCUGGCACACUGUUUACUGUAGAUAAAACCAACAGCUUAUCAGGACAUACCUUAGCAUCGCUUAUUCUUUUGAACUUGGCAUACACUCCUACUUAGCUUCUUCUUUUAGCGUUGUACCAUGGAGGAAUAUUCCUCCAUGGUUGUACAAAGCUUUACAAGUCUUUACACACCGAAGUAUUUCUGUGCAUAGUGUCGUUGUGGUUCCAUUCGCAAUGUUCGUAGUCACAAAGCACAUGUUUAGCAUUAUGUUUUGUUUUUGUUUUUGUUAAAGACAAGAAAUAUUAUAGUGCACUUAAAACAUUUGAAGCUUUUCAUGGUAUAGAAGUAAACUUUCAAAGUGACACGUUUCCGGGGCAAAACGACACUCAUCCGGGUCCAAAUGACACUUUUUCGACUCAUUAUUCAGGUCAUUUUGACCCGGAAUGGUGUCAUUUUGACCAAGAAUAGCGUUAUUUUGACCCAGAAAAGUGUAAUUUUGACCCGGAAUAGUGUCAUGUUGACCCGGAAUAGUGUUAAAUCUGACACAAGUGUUCUAGAGGGUAGGCCGUCCGCUAUUAUAACUUUACUCGUGUUUAAACAGCAAGUGUAGUGAUACAUCAGGUGCUACGAAGUAACUGGUUAUUGUCGAGAACUAAUCCAUAACAACUUGUAAACCCGGAUUCACAAACAAACAAAAACAAGUAAAGCAUUAUCACGCAUGUAGUUCAGAACUGGUCGUCCUACCGUUAGUUUAAUUAAAUUAGUCAAUAAUAUAUAAAGCGACAACAAUAAAAGGAUAUUAUAUGUUUGUUUGCAUUAUGUAUAGAAGCAAGGCAUAGGUACCAAAUGUAUACAAGACUUUCAUUAAUGUCUGUUAAUGGUUAAAAAAAAUAUUGCACAUGAAAAUUAACAGUUAUAUAGAGCCCUCGGGGGAACUAAAAAGAAAACCGAAUAAACCAUAGUGAGCAAUUAGCAUUUUCAA